GCAUCAGUUCUCUUUUGGCCUUUCAUUCGGUAACACUUUAUGCUUAUUGUAGUAUCUCAGCGUGACUUUCUGCGGUUGGUCGGUGCCGUUCUUGGUACACCGUUUUUUUUAUAUGCUACUCCCUUGAGUCAAGGAAAGUGAGAGUUUCGGUGUGUGGACAGAGGUGGGGGACCUCCCGGUGCGUGCGUGAUUAUUCUUCUGCUGGAUUCUGUUCCCCGCAAGGGAUUCGACUGGAACUCUUGAGCUAGUUGCGGGUGGACGAACGUUUAGUGUUCCUGUUACAAGGCUCAGCAAUUAUGAGGUUUCUAUCGUUGAAGCGGCAAAUAAUUUGCCUGAUCGCAGUGGCUGCAAAUCUGUGUGCAGCGCAGCAGCAGGCUCUUCCGACCAUCACAUCGAUUAGUCCAGAACAGAUCAAGGAUAUCGGGGAAGGAGUGACGUUGGAGUGCGAUAUUGACAACGUGGGCAAAUUUACGGUUGGGUGGCAGAAGACCAACAGGGAAAGAUCACAAAAUGUGAAUUCUAUCUCUUUGGGGCCCACAUUGGCAGUGGCAGAGGACCGAUUCACAGUUAACGUUGAUAAAAAGAACAAUACCAUGAACUACACUCUGACGAUCAGCGAUAUCGUGAAUACGGAUGCCGGAUUGUAUGAGUGCCAGAUUCAGGUGAACAGCACCAGCAAAGUGACCGCCACUGUGGAGCUCCAGGUUCGUCAUCCACCGCUACUGCUUGAUAACUUGAUGGCGACGACUGUUACCAAGGCGGAAGGGGAAGACGCUAAGCUGACUUGCACCGCGGAGGGCUAUCCACGCCCAUCGAUCUCCUGGAAACGGGAGUAUGGCGCCAUUCUCCCAAUCGGCGGUCAGAGCUUUUUGGGAAAUGAGCUAUCUUUGCCUGCGCUGUCCAGGGAAGACCGUGGUACAUACUUCUGCAACGCGGAUAAUGGAGUUGGUAAGCCAGACUCCCGCACCAUCAACCUUGAGGUGGAGUUCGCUCCCGUGAUCUCCGUGCCACGCCCAAAGAUAGCCCAAGCUACUGAGUAUGAUAUUGAGCUGGAGUGUGUAGUUCAAGCUUUUCCAUCGCCUGCGGUUUCUUGGUUCAAGAAUGGACACCAAAUACACAAUGGUGGCUCUUACGGAAUAACUCAAACUGGCCAACCGGAUGACGUAACGACAUCUACUGUGAAGAUCACCUCCGUUGAAAGCUCACACUACGGAGACUAUAUUUGCAAGGCUUCCAAUAAAGUUGGCCACGCUGAAGCAAGACUGAACCUCUACGAAUCGGUUAUCCCAGUUCCCUUUUGAUGUUGUAGUUGAUUUUGUACUUCCGUAGUUUAGUCAAUCCUUGGUUGAAUUUUGAUUUCUUGAUGAUUUUUAUGAAAGAGCAACGUAUACCCAACAUCAACUUCUCCGGGCUGAAGUGGUCCAGCUCGGGCCGCGUUUUGGUGAGUCAUUUGGGUAUCCUUACGAUAACGGUACUGCUGGCAACGCUGUUGUGAAUAAGAAGGAGAAGCUAAACGCUAAACAGCCAAAACAAAAAUCAAAAUUACCUGAAAAUCCUACUUCAUCAGACAACCAAACUAGCACUAUAGACCCGGAUCGUUUGGACUUCGCUCGAAUAUGAAGUCCAUCAUUUCCAUUCAAAACACAUAUCCCUUUUGAACAGCAUUUACUUAUUGAGAAGAAAAAUUUCCAUAUUCGUGUAGAUUAUUUUCGAGGCACAAACGCUACUAAUGUUUAAACAAAAAUCUGUACAAAAAAUGCCAACCGUUAGAUUUUGGCUUUGCAUAAUAUGACAUGAAUUUAAUACAAAUUUGACAUCCUGGUAGACUGAAACCUAUUACAAGAAUGCUCGUUUUAGUGUUAGUUGUAACGUAAUAAAAAUGCAACGUGUGCGAAUAAAAACGAUAA